CCUACGGGAGGCUGCAGUGGGGGAUAUUGCACAAUGGGCGAAAGCCUGAUGCAGCGACGCCGCGUGAGGGAAGAAGCGCCUCGGCGCGUAAAGCUCUGUCAGCAGGGAAGAAAGUGACGGUAGCUGAAGAAGAAGCCACGGCUAAAAACGAGCCAGCAGCCGCGGCAAUACGGAGGGGGCCAGCGUUAUCCGGAUUUAUUGGGUGUAAAGUGGGCGUAGGCGGGGUCGUAAGCCAGGUGUGAAAGCCCGGGGCUCAACCCGAGGACUGCAUUUGGAACUGGCUGGCUAGAGUGCAGGAGGGGCAGGCGGAAUUCCUGGUGUAGCGGUGAAAUGCGUAGAUAUCAGGAAGAACACCGGUGGCGAAGGCGGCCUGCUGGACUGCAACUGACGUUGAGGCCCGAAAGCGUGGGGAGCAAACAGGAUUAGAUACCCCAGUAGUC
rnacentral:rRNA from 1 species